CGCUAAAUUUCAAGUGUUAAAUUUUUAAGUGUAUUCAGCAAAAACAUCCCAAAAAACAAAAUGAGUGCCAAAAACAAAGGUCCUGGACCGGCGGCUUACGGUCUGCCGCCAGAAAUCGGCUUCAACCAACACGAUCCCCGGAAAGACCGCAAACCAAUGUACACGAUGCGGCCGGCGUUCAAAACCCGCUUCGACACGCUCGGUCCCGGCCCGGCCGUGUACGAUCUGAAGAAGAUAACGCGCGUUGGAGGACCCCGGGAACCGAAGUAUUCGCUCGCAAGCCGACUCAACGAGCGCAAGCCGGAUCUCGUUCCCGGCCCGGGUGCGCACAACAAUCAUCUGGUACCGACGAUGAAAUGUAAACGUCCGCCCUUGUACAGCUUCGGCCAGCGUAUCGAUGUGCCCAACCGGGAGAUCAUACCGGCGCCGAAUCGAUACGAUGGGCUGAUUUACAUGACUCGUACCAAAGCUCCGUGCUACUCGAUGAGACCGCAUACGAAGCAGAUUAACGGCUUGGAGGGACCUGGUCCGGCUAGGUACGGUCCUACCUCGCGCGAUGUCACCCACAAACGGGCACCGAACUAUACGCUGCGUGCUGGCCAUAAGCAUCUUACGGAGCGGACGCCUCAUCCCGGCCCGAAUCGCUACGGUUUGAUGAACCUGCGCAUGGACACCACGGCACCGAGCUACAGCUUUGGCAUCAGAUAUCCAGACUGGAAGGAUCCAAUGAUUAUACCGGGUGACAAUUGUUAGGUUCCUGAGUAAACCGGCUUGAGGGUUAUGUCUUCAAGGAGACGAUAAAAAUAUUGAAAGGAUCUUUUAGGGAACUCAACCAGUUUCAAAUGAGUUCAGCAUUCAAUGAGAUUACAUUAGCCACAUUCCGAGGAUCAUUUCCUUCCUAUGUUAAUGAUGCUGCACCCCACUCGACAAGCACACCCCCAGGGCUAAGCGGAUGCACAAAUGUCAUCAGCUCAAGUUACCUGCUGCAAGCAACUGCGAAAAGAAGCCAAUAGUGCUACGAUUGCGCAGUGUAAUGAUCAGCCGAUUAACAUGCUCUCCAUGGCACGUCCCCGACCUGGAGCGCUGAAAUGGCACUGGGCUCGCCUUUUAAAUGUCUUCCCGAAGGAAGGAGCUUACACACCUUUCGUUCCGUUUCCAAAAACAUAACCGAACUGCCCCGCAGGUUCACUUCUCGAUUAGAUCACACCCGUUCGUCCCACGGGGCCCACACACUCAACCGUCAGCGUUGCGCGUAAAAUGGCCCCCUUCGCGACGGAAACGGCCGUGAGGCCUCCGAAAAAGAGGAAAGAAAAAAAACCGAACCGUCUCCAAAACCAAAGCCCACGGGCCAGAGAACCAUUUUCACGGGGGAAGACGCGAAAAGAGAAGACCUACACCAAUUAACCGGCAUAACGAGGAUCAAAUUACUCACCCAAAAGCCACACUCAUUUGUUAUUCACUGAAUCGAUCUUGUCGCACCGGAUGAAAAAUGUCAUGAGCAUAUCAA